rnacentral:rRNA from 1 species
AACUUUGCAAUAAGCGAAAGCUUGACAGGGCUAUCCCGAGUGCCAUCCGCUGAGGAAGGCUUUUACCCAGUCUAGAACGCUGGGGGAAUAAGGAGAGGGCAAGUCUGGUGUCAGCCGCCGCGGUAAUACCAGCACCCCGAGUGGUCGGGACGAUUAUUGGGCCUAAAGCAUCCGUAGCCGGUCCUGCAAGUCCUCCGUUAAAUCCACCCGCUCAACGGUUGGGCCGCGGGGGAUACUACAGGGCUAGGAGGCGGGAGAGGCAAGCGGUACUCGAUGGGUAGGGGUAAAAUCCACUGAUCCAUUGAAGACCACCAGUGGCGAAGGCGGCUUGCCAGAACGCGCUCGACGGUGAGGGAUGAAAGCUGGGGGAGCAAACCGGAUUAGAUACCCGGGUAGUCCCAGCUGUAAACGAUGCAGACUCGGUGAUGGGCUGGCUUCGUGCCAACCCGGUGCCGCAGGGAAGCCGUUAAGUCUACCGCCUGGGGAGUACGGUCGCAAGACUGAAACUUAA